rnacentral:rRNA from 1 species
CAACGCGAAGAACCUUACCAGGCCUUGACAUGCAGAGAACUUUCCAGAGAUGGAUUGGUGCCUUCGGGAACUCUGACACAGGUGCUGCAUGGCUGUCGUCAGCUCGUGUCGUGGGAUGUUGGGUUAAGUCCCGUAACGAGCGCAACCCUUGUCCUUAGUUACCAGCACGUUAUGGUGGGCACUCUAAGGAGACUGCCGGUGACAAACCGGAGGAAGGUGGGGAUGACGUCAAGUCAUCAUGGCCCUUACGGCCUGGGCUACACACGUGCUACAAUGGUCGGUACAAAGGGUUGCCAAGCCGCGAGGUGGAGCUAAUCCCAUAAAACCGAUCGUAGUCCGGAUCGCAGUCUGCAACUCGACUGCGUGAAGUCGGAAUCGCUAGUAAUCGUGAAUCAGAAUGUCACGGUGAAUACGUUCCCGGGCCUU